AGUUUACUUUAUUAUUCGAUUUCUAAUUCAAACUUUAAUUUGCUUUUUAAUUUUGUUUAAUUUUAUUUAAUUUUACUUUCAAUUCACUUUAACUUUCAAUUUUAAUUUUUAUUUCAAAAUUUGAUUUAUAUUUUAAUUUAUAAUUUUCUUUUAAUUUUAUAUUUAACAUUUAAUUUGUUUUAAUAUUUAAUUUACAUUAUUUAUAAUUAUUUAUUAUAUUAUAAUAAAUAUUUAUAAUAAUUUAUAAUAUUAUAAUAAAUUAUAACAAAUAUAAUUAUAUGGGUCUCGACGUAGUCACCUCCUCGUUGGUGAGACCCGGUAAUUGGCAUCGGUUUUCGUUUUAUAUUAUUUGAUUAAAUUAUUAGAAAUAUCACAUUAAAAAUAUUGUAUUAAAACUAUAUUAGAAUGAUUAGUUUUUGAAAACUGAUGCCAAGCUAAGAACUACACUAGUUUUAAGUUUAAGUUUAAGUUUAAGUUUAAGUUUUUGUUAUUGUAUCUUUAACUUGUAAAAUUUUGAUUAUUUUGCAAGAAAUUUCGAAAAUUUAUAAUUCGCGACAUCAUUUAUUAUAAUUGAUUAUAAUCUAAAUUUUGAUAGCGAACAAUUAUAACGUAAUUUUUCCAAAUUAUUCAAAUAAUUUUCCAAAUUUUUCUAAAUAAUUCAUAAAAAUUUUUGAAUGUUAAAAAGUAUCUUAGAACUCAUAGCAGUAUUUUCUUAAACAAAUGUUUGAAACGAAAAAGAAAAAAAAGGAAAAAUAUCGAAUAUUUUACUUUUUUUUCCACCCUAUCCCUCCCUUAUUAUGCAAUUUUAUUUUCAGUAAAUUUUUGUUACCGCGCGCGAUCAGUAGAGUCAGUGAUUGCUUUCGUAAAAGUUUUUAAAUUCUUUAAUGAAUAACGCGAAAUUAGAAUCAGUGUUUGUUCGCCGAAUUUAAUUUUUAACCGGUCGCGUUAAAAGACUACGCGUUUAGAGUCAGUGCUUCUCUCAAGAAAAUACGGCGGUCAUCCAUCACGCGAAGAGAUAUUUCCUAACAUCCCCCUGCCAAUAUUCUUCGCAUCUAAUGGUGAGUCGCAUGCAUUUAUGUUCCUCCGGUCACUCAAGCAUGUCGUAGGACGAAAGGUCCGAAUCGACACGAGUGAUUGGUUGUAUACGUAGAUUUUUGCAACGGACAUAGUGACCACGGAUAUACUUAUUAUAUCCGUGAGUAGUAACAUUUUCUGUGUUUUAUUUAUUAGCUCAGGCUAGAUCUUCUUGCACAUCGCGUUUCUCAAAUACUAAUAAACUAAAAAUUUUCUUUUCUUUUUUACACUUCGCUUUAUAUUAUAAUAUAUUUUAAUUAUUCGAUUUUCAAUUUUCAACAAUCAUAUGAUACAAAAUAUAAAAUUUUAAAUUUUAGUUCCUUCGUAUACGAAAAUGUGUAAGAAGAUAUAUCGCGACAGGUAGAUUUCGGAAUCAAAACAAUAAUAUUGAACAUUGUGUUUCUAAUUUCUAAUUCGAAACUAUGUUUUGAUGAAGGAAUCGCCUGAGGUAUUAAUGUUAAUUAAUUAUUAAUGUUAACUUUAAUUUUUCAAUUCAAUUAGUUUAUUUUGCAUUUAGUAUUUCUUGUUGUAAAUAAAUUUCUUAUUUAUUUUUCUUUUGCUUUAUUAUUAUAUAGAUACUAUAUAGAUAUAACUUUAAUAAAAUUAGAGUCAUUGAAUAAAAUUUAAAGUAAAAAUAGAUGAUGAAAUAAAGAAUAUUAGUCCGUUAGAGAAAAAAUAGAUAUUUAUAAUAUUUUUUUAGUUUAGGAUUUUCAGGUUUAACCCCUUCCGUGUCUAUUGCCACGAUCUCACUCACGUGCCCAGGUGUUACUUGGGUGAGAGAGAGGCAAUAGGCAUGAUGACUAUAGUUUAUAAGUUUUUAACGGCGACUGACGAUAAGUUAGUGAUCGUGCACGACGUAUUUUCCACAUUGUGUGUGUUUGCGAUUAGGCUGUGGAAUUGCGUCGUUACGAUUCUCAUUUUUAUUUAUUAUAUUAUCAGUUAUACGAUUUACAAUUUUGUUAAUAUUAUCAUAAAAUUAUAAAUUGUAAAUUGAUACCAAUUAUUAAAUUUUAGUAAUGCCAUUUUUAUUGAUAAUUAAAAUCGAGAUAGAUACGAUUUUUUGUCGCGAUUCACGCAAUGAUCAUUAGCCAUCGUCAGUCGAUUUCAGGAAAAGGUACGUAAAUUUAGAGUGUGAAAGUAGUAUCAAACUCGGGUGUCGGAGGCGUCCCGGGACGUUCUCCCUAGUGUAGGCUUUUGCACCCGGGUGUAAUGUGUGAGAACCGUGGAGUGGGUGUGUUGGUGUGAUUGUUUUGCCAUUUUUAAAUAUAGCGCUAGGUAGGAUAGGUAGUAUACUUUCUGGUGUGCAUGUUAAUUAUAAGUAGGUAGGGCCGGGCAGGUUGUCACAGUCUCUGGUCGGGUAGGCGCGUUUUCGCGUGACAACCUGUUUCAGGAAAUACAAUUUGAAAAAUCGAGAGUGGAGCUGAGAUGAGUGGUCAUCGAUGACCACUCGUUUCUGGUUUUACUUAUAUCGAUUUUUCGAAUUUCGCGGUCGCGGUCGCGAAGUGGGCGAAACGAACGUGCGCUCGAGAUUCUGCGCAUGUGCGGACAAUGGUCAGUAAUGACUAUUGGUCGUCCAUGUGCACUCAGCUUUCGCGAUUUAGUCUAUUUUUUUUCUUUUUUUUUUUUGCGAUUAGGAAAUCUCGAGCCUAGAUUUAAGUUUCAGCGGGCAUUGCGCCCGAAGGAGGAAGACCGAAGAGGCCUCGACAAACUGUCACGAAGAGGGGCUGCAACGAAUGGUUUCUCAUUUUUUGGAUCUUGUCUGGAUCCAAAGAAUGGGAAGUCAUUGUUACUACUUUGUCACUAUGCUCGUUUUAGAAUCAGUAGUAAUAGUAAUAGUAGUAGUAGUAGUAGUAGUAGUAGUAGUAGUAGUAGUAUUAGUAGUAGUAGUAGUAGUAAUAGUAUUUAUGGCCGAUGAGAAUUCCGGCCCAACGUACAAUCAUCAUGGGCAAAUGGGCAAUCGCGAUUUUUUAAUUAGUGUUGCGACAAAUAAAUUACGGUUUGCAUUAGUGUUGCGAAAUAACGAUCGCGUUUGAUUUAGUGUUGCGUUUAAUGAGACAUCGCGAUUUUUUUUAAUAAUUUUAAUUUUAAUAAAACAAUUUUUUAUAAAAAGUAAUAUUAAAAAAUUUUACGUUUAUUUUAUUCCAAAUUUUAAUUAUAGAGAUAUUAACUUUCAAUUCAUUUGCAUUUGUAUUAAAUUCAUUUUAAGAAUUAGUGUUGCGUUGAAAAAUAAUCGCGUUUUUGAAAAUAGUGUUGCGUCAAAAAAUAAUCGCGUUUUUAAAAGUAGUGUUGCGCUAAAAAAUGAUCGCGUUUUUAAAAGUAGUGUUGCGUUUAUAAAAUGCCCAUGAUUCUUCCACUAAUAUUGUGGAAGUGAUCCUGUUUUGGGAUCAUAAAAUGCAGUUGGAAGAGCUGCAAAAAUGUGGUCCUACUUUUGGAUCACAAAGUGGGAAAACGGGCAAUCGCGAUUUUUUAAUUAGUGUUGCGACAAAUAAAUUACGGUUUGCAUUAGUGUUGCGAAUAAGUAACAAUCGCGUUUGCUUUAGUAUUGCGUUUUAUGAGAUAUCGCGAUUUUUUUUUAAUAAUUUUAAUCAUUAUUACAUUUAAUAAUAUAAUUUUUUUUAAAUAGUAGUAUUAAAAAAUUUUAUGUUUAUUUUAUUUCGAGUUUUAAUUAGAGAUAUUAACUUUCAAUUCAUUUGCAUUUAUAUUAAAUUCAUUUUAAGAAUUAGUGUUGCGUUGAAAAGUAAUCGCGUUUUUGAAAAUAGUGUUGCGUCAAAAAAUAAUCGCGUUUUUGAAAGUAGUGUUGCGCUAUAUAAUGAUCGCGUUUUUGAAAGUAGUGUUGCGUUUAUAAAAUGCCCAUAUUCUUCCACUAACAUUGUGGAAAUGAUCCUGUUUUUGGAUCACAAGUGUGGUCCUUGUAGCCUUUUCUGGCUAUCAUUUUUUUUCAGCGCCCCUAAUUAUUACAACAUUUGUUAAUGAAAAUACUGCUAAAAAAUUUAUUCAUUUGAAUUUCAAACUCUCGUACUAUUACAUAAAAUUGUUCGCAUUAUGCAAUAAGAACAUUAAUUUAUUUAAUAUUAUAAAUUAAUAUUCUUAUUACGAUAUAUUGAUACAAACAGUUGAUUUAUUUGGAACAAAUGACAAAUAAUUAUUCGUUGUCAAAAUUAAAAUUAAAAUUUUUUUCUACUAUUUCCCUAAAAUUAAAUAAAAUUUGUUAGUAUUCUUGCAUUUUUAAUUAUGAAACAAUUGAAUAAAUAUUCGGAAUUCCUGCGUGAAAUAUCAAAAUAAAAUUUUUAAUUUAUUCUAUAUGUAAUUUUUAAGAUAUCUUCGAUUAAAUUUAAACUUAAAUUUAAGAUUUAAAUAAAUUUUAAGUCUUAAAUUUAAAUCUUAGAUUUAAGUUUAAUGUAAGAUAGACAUUUAAAUUAAGUCUUAAAUUUAAGUCUUAGGUUUAAGUUUAAUGUAAAAUAGACAUUUAAAUUAAGUUUAUUGUAAGCACAUUUCGUAAGAUGAUACGCUCCUUAACAUAAAAUCAACUCUAUAUAUACAAACAUUCAUUCAUAAAUAUUUUCAAUCCCUUUACUUUUUUUCUUUUUCUAUGUCUUUUUUUUUUUUACUUUGUUAAAUAGGAGCGUAUCUUUAGUACGGAUGAUGCCAGUAGGAUAUAUAAAUCAUAGAUUUAAGAUGUAGUAUUAAGAAUAUAGAUUAAGUUAGAUGAAUGAUGAUAGAUAAUUUAUUUACCAAUUGUAUCACAUUUCUUUUCUAUGUAUAAGAUCUGAUUUGUAGAUAAUUAAUUGUAUUAUUUAAUGUACUGGUCACUUUGUUCAAUAAAUUCAACCUGAU